CAGAACCAGGUUUAGUAUCAGAACCAGGUUUAGAGGGGCAUUAGAACCAGGCUUAGUAUCAAAACAAGGUUUAGCAUUAGAACGAGGUUUAGGUGGCCAUCAGAACCAGGUUUAUUAUCAGAACCAGUUUUAGGGGGGGAUUAGAACCAGGUUCAGUAUCAGAACCAGGCUUAGUAUCAGAACCAGGUUGAGGUGGGCAUCAGAACCAGGUUUGGGUGGGGAUCAGAACCAGGUUUAAGUAGGGAUCAGAACCAGGUUUAGUAUCAGAAACAGGUUUAAUACCAGAACCAGGUUUAGGUGGACAUUAAAAACCAGUUUAGGUGGGCAUCAGAACCAGUUUUGGGGGCAUCAGACCCAGUUUCUUCCCCCAGAGGUGCUGGGCACUGAACCAGGGAAUGGGCACAGCCCCAAGAGCUCCAGGAGUGUCUGAGGCAGUGUUUGCUGCACUUUAAUCAUUAAAUUAUUCAUUAAUUAAUUACACUGAAACGUGGGAUCCCCUGGAGUGCUCCCCACCCAAUUCCCACCGGGAUUCACACCCUGCUCCAAAGCCUUCAAUGCCUGAAAAGCCUUUGGCACAGCCCAGGUGCUCAGGAUGGGGCUCCCAAAAAUCCUUCAAGAUAUUCCAGCUCUCCCAGGGA